AAGAAACACAUUUAAGGCAGAAAGAUAUAGUCAGAGUAAAGGGUGCUCUGUUAUGCUCAAACUGCAUCCAUAUGAGAUAGCAGCCGGAGGACCUCAAAACCGAGAAUCUCAAUGAUACAAGGAAAACAGAGGAUUGGGAAUGAGGAUUAUCAGACUCCCUACCUUGACACAGGAAAUAAAGCACAUAACCAGUGAUUGAACCUGUCAAAAAAAAUGCAUCUUCCUCUCCAACCUUUUACUCCAAGCUUUCUUAAUGACCAGCUUGUGAUAUCAGGUGCUGAAUCCUUUUUAAUGGCCACAACUAACCAAUUCCAUAGAUGCAGUUCAGCAAGAAUUUCGUUCCAUUCCUCUAAUCUUCUGGACACAGAGGGAGGAAAAGGCACCAUCUAAACAGGAUUACUUAACUGUAGACUCAGAUUCUCUGGCAUUUGGAGUACUAAUUAGUUUUUCAAUAUGAUAUCAAUAUAAUAACAUAAUAAUAUGAUAACAAUGUUGA